CUAAAAAAAAAAAAAAAUA
rnacentral:snRNA from 1 species